UACGGAGGGGACUAGCGUUGUUCGGAAUUACUGGGCGUAAAGCGCACGUAGGCGGAUUGUUUAGUCAGGGGUGAAAUCCCGAGGCUCAACCUCGGAACUGCCUUUGAUACUGGCAAUCUCGAGUCCGGAAGAGGUGAGUGGAAUUCCUAGUGUAGAGGUGAAAUUCGUAGAUAUUAGGAAGAACACCAAUUGCGAAGGCAGCUCGCUGGGACGUUACUGACGCUGAGACGCGAAAGCGUGGGAGCAAACAGGG
rnacentral:rRNA from 1 species